AUUGAACGCUGGCGGCAGGCCUAACACAUGCAAGUCGAACGGUAGCACAGAGAGCUUGCUCUCGGGUGACGAGUGGCGGACGGGUGAGUAACGUCUGGGAAACUGCCCGAUGGAGGGGGAUAACUACUGGAAACGGUAGCUAAUACCGCAUAACGUCGCAAGACCAAAGUGGGGGACCUUCGGGCCUCACACCAUCGGAUGUGCCCAGAUGGGAUUAGCUAGUAGGUGGGGUAAUGGCUCACCUAGGCGACGAUCCCUAGCUGGUCUGAGAGGAUGACACGCCACACUGGAACGGAGACACGGUCCAGACUCCUACGGGAGGCAGCAGUGGGGAAUAUUGCACAAUGGGCGCAAGCCUGAUGCAGCCAUGCCGCGUGUAUGAAGAAGGCCUUCGGGUUGUAAAGUACUUUCAGCGGGGAGGAAGGCGGUGAAGUUAAUAACUUCACCGAUUGACGUUACCCGUAGAAGAAGCACCGGCUAACUCCGUGCCAGCAGCCGCCGUAA
rnacentral:rRNA from 1 species